UACGUAGGGGGCUAGCGUUGUCCGGAAUCAUUGGGCGUAAAGCGCGUAUAGGCGGUUCGGUAAGUCCGCUGUGAAAGUCGGGGGCUCAACCCUCGAAUGCCGGUGGAUACUGUCGGGCUAGAGUGCGGAAGAGGCGAGUGGAAUUCCUGGUGUAGCGGUGAAAUGCGCAGAUAUCAGGAGGAACACCAAUUGCGAAGGCAGCUCGCUGGGACGCUACUGACGCUGAGACGCGAAAGCGUGGGGAGCAAACAGG
rnacentral:rRNA from 1 species